rnacentral:rRNA from 1 species
CAAAAGCGUAUAUUAAAGUUGUUGCAGUUAAAAAGCUCGUAGUUGAACCUUGGGCUUGGCUGGCCGGUCCAUCUUUUUUGAUGCGUACUGGACCCAGCCGAGCCUUUCCUUCUGGCUAGCCUUUUGGCGAACCAGGACUUUUACUUUGAAAAAAUUAGAGUGUUCAAAGCAGGCCUUUGCUCGAAUAUAUUAGCAUGGAAUAAUAGAAUAGGACGUUAUGGUGCUAUUUUGUUGGUUUCUAGGACCAUCGUAAUGAUUAAUAGGGACGGUCGGGGGUAUCAGUAUUCAGUUGUCAGAGGUGAAAUUCUUGGAUUUACUGAAGACUAACUACUGCGAAAGCAUUUACCAAGGGCGUUUUCAUUAA